rnacentral:rRNA from 2 species
UUAAGCGACUAAGCGUACACGGUGGAUGCCCUGGCAGUCAGAGGCGAUGAAGGACGUGCUAAUCUGCGAUAAGCGUCGGUAAGGUGAUAUGAACCGUUAUAACCGGCGAUUUCCGAAUGGGGAAACCCAGUGUGAUUCGUCACACUAUCAUUAACUGAAUCCAUAGGUUAAUGAGGCGAACCGGGGGAACUGAAACAUCUAAGUACCCCGAGGAAAAGAAAUCAACCGAGAUUCCCCCAGUAGCGGCGAGCGAACGGGGAGCAGCCCAGAGCCUGAAUCAGUGUGUGUGUUAGUGGAAGCGUCUGGAAAGGCGCGCGAUACAGGGUGACAGCCCCGUACACAAAAAUGCACAUACUGUGAGCUCGAUGAGUAGGGCGGGACACGUGGUAUCCUGUCUGAAUAUGGGGGGACCAUCCUCCAAGGCUAAAUACUCCUGACUGACCGAUAGUGAACCAGUACCGUGAGGGAAAGGCGAAAAGAACCCCGGCGAGGGGAGUGAAAAAGAACCUGAAACCGUGUACGUACAAGCAGUGGGAGCCUCUUAAUGGGGUGACUGCGUACCUUUUGUAUAAUGGGUCAGCGACUUAUAUUCUGUAGCAAGGUUAACCGAAUAGGGGAGCCGAAGGGAAACCGAGUCUUAACUGGGCGUUAAGUUGCAGGGUAUAGACCCGAAACCCGGUGAUCUAGCCAUGGGCAGGUUGAAGGUUGGGUAACACUAACUGGAGGACCGAACCGACUAAUGUUGAAAAAUUAGCGGAUGACUUGUGGCUGGGGGUGAAAGGCCAAUCAAACCGGGAGAUAGCUGGUUCUCCCCGAAAGCUAUUUAGGUAGCGCCUCGUGAAUUCAUCUCCGGGGGUAGAGCACUGUUUCGGCAAGGGGGUCAUCCCGACUUACCAACCCGAUGCAAACUGCGAAUACCGGAGAAUGUUAUCACGGGAGACACACGGCGGGUGCUAACGUCCGUCGUGAAGAGGGAAACAACCCAGACCGCCAGCUAAGGUCCCAAAGUCAUGGUUAAGUGGGAAACGAUGUGGGAAGGCCCAGACAGCCAGGAUGUUGGCUUAGAAGCAGCCAUCAUUUAAAGAAAGCGUAAUAGCUCACUGGUCGAGUCGGCCUGCGCGGAAGAUGUAACGGGGCUAAACCAUGCACCGAAGCUGCGGCAGCGACGCUUAUGCGUUGUUGGGUAGGGGAGCGUUCUGUAAGCCUGCGAAGGUGUGCUGUGAGGCAUGCUGGAGGUAUCAGAAGUGCGAAUGCUGACAUAAGUAACGAUAAAGCGGGUGAAAAGCCCGCUCGCCGGAAGACCAAGGGUUCCUGUCCAACGUUAAUCGGGGCAGGGUGAGUCGACCCCUAAGGCGAGGCCGAAAGGCGUAGUCGAUGGGAAACAGGUUAAUAUUCCUGUACUUGGUGUUACUGCGAAGGGGGGACGGAGAAGGCUAUGUUGGCCGGGCGACGGUUGUCCCGGUUUAAGCGUGUAGGCUGGUUUUCCAGGCAAAUCCGGAAAAUCAAGGCUGAGGCGUGAUGACGAGGCACUACGGUGCUGAAGCAACAAAUGCCCUGCUUCCAGGAAAAGCCUCUAAGCAUCAGGUAACAUCAAAUCGUACCCCAAACCGACACAGGUGGUCAGGUAGAGAAUACCAAGGCGCUUGAGAGAACUCGGGUGAAGGAACUAGGCAAAAUGGUGCCGUAACUUCGGGAGAAGGCACGCUGAUACGUAGGUGAAGCGACUUGCUCGUGGAGCUGAAAUCAGUCGAAGAUACCAGCUGGCUGCAACUGUUUAUUAAAAACACAGCACUGUGCAAACACGAAAGUGGACGUAUACGGUGUGACGCCUGCCCGGUGCCGGAAGGUUAAUUGAUGGGGUUAGCGGUAACGCGAAGCUCUUGAUCGAAGCCCCGGUAAACGGCGGCCGUAACUAUAACGGUCCUAAGGUAGCGAAAUUCCUUGUCGGGUAAGUUCCGACCUGCACGAAUGGCGUAAUGAUGGCCAGGCUGUCUCCACCCGAGACUCAGUGAAAUUGAACUCGCUGUGAAGAUGCAGUGUACCCGCGGCAAGACGGAAAGACCCCGUGAACCUUUACUAUAGCUUGACACUGAACAUUGAGCCUUGAUGUGUAGGAUAGGUGGGAGGCUUUGAAGUGUGGACGCCAGUCUGCAUGGAGCCGACCUUGAAAUACCACCCUUUAAUGUUUGAUGUUCUAACGUUGGCCCCUGAUCGGGGUUGCGGACAGUGUCUGGUGGGUAGUUUGACUGGGGCGGUCUCCUCCUAAAGAGUAACGGAGGAGCACGAAGGUUGGCUAAUCCUGGUCGGACAUCAGGAGGUUAGUGCAAUGGCAUAAGCCAGCUUGACUGCGAGCGUGACGGCGCGAGCAGGUGCGAAAGCAGGUCAUAGUGAUCCGGUGGUUCUGAAUGGAAGGGCCAUCGCUCAACGGAUAAAAGGUACUCCGGGGAUAACAGGCUGAUACCGCCCAAGAGUUCAUAUCGACGGCGGUGUUUGGCACCUCGAUGUCGGCUCAUCACAUCCUGGGGCUGAAGUAGGUCCCAAGGGUAUGGCUGUUCGCCAUUUAAAGUGGUACGCGAGCUGGGUUUAGAACGUCGUGAGACAGUUCGGUCCCUAUCUGCCGUGGGCGCUGGAGAACUGAGGGGGGCUGCUCCUAGUACGAGAGGACCGGAGUGGACGCAUCACUGGUGUUCGGGUUGUCAUGCCAAUGGCACUGCCCGGUAGCUAAAUGCGGAAGAGAUAAGUGCUGAAAGCAUCUAAGCACGAAACUUGCCCCGAGAUGAGUUCUCCCUGACUCCCUGAGAGUCCUGAAGGAACGUUGAAGACGACGACGUUGAUAGGCCGGGUGUGUAAGCGCAGCGAUGCGUUGAGCUAACCGGUACUAAUGAACCGUGAGGCUUAACCUU